AAUCAACGCUGGCGGCGUGCCUCAGACAUGCAAGUCGAACGAUUAAGACUCUCUUCGGAGAGUGCAUAAAGUGGCGCACGGGUGAGUAACACGUAAGUAAUCUACCCUCGAGUGGGGAAUAACGUCCGGAAACGGACGCUAAUACCGCAUAAUGCAGCGGCACCGCAAGGUGACAGUUGUUAAAGAUUUAUCGCUUGAGGAGGAGCUUGCGGCAGAUUAGCAGUUGGUAAGGUAAUGGCUUACCAAGGCUACGAUCUGUAACCGGUCUAAGAGGACGGUCGGUCACACUGACACUGAAUAACGGGUCAGACUCCUACGGGAGGCAGCAGUCGGGAAUUUUGGGCAAUGGGCGAAAGCCUGACCCAGCAACGCCGCGUGAAGGAUGAAGUAUUUCGGUAUGUAAACUUCGAAAGAAUAGGAAGAAUAAAUGACGGUACUAUUUAUAAGGUCCGGCUAACUACGUG
rnacentral:rRNA from 1 species